GUCCAGGGGCGGGAAUCGAACCCACAACCUUCUGCUUACAGGGCAGAUGCCAUGUCCACUAGGCUACCCUGGA
rnacentral:tRNA from 1 species